CAGUAGCCGCGGUAAUACGGAGGGUGCAAGCGUUACUCGGAAUCACUGGGCGUAAAGGACGCGUAGGCGGAUUAUCAAGUCUCUUGUGAAAUCUAACGGCUUAACCGUUAAACUGCUUGGGAAACUGAUAAUCUAGAGUAAGGGAGAGGCAGAUGGAAUUCUUGGUGUAGGGGUAAAAUCCGUAGAGAUCAAGAAGAAUACCUAUUGCGAAGGCGAUCUGCUGGAACUUAACUGACGCUAAUGCGUGAAAGCGUGGGGAGCAAACAGGAUUAGAUACCCCCGUAGUCCCUGUCUCUUAUAA
rnacentral:rRNA from 1 species